rnacentral:rRNA from 1 species
UACGUAGGGGGCGAGCGUUGUCCGGAUUUAUUGGGCGUAAAGAGCUCGUAGGCGGUUCGAUAAGUCGGACGUGAAAUCUCCACGCUCAACGUGGAGGGGCCGUUCGAUACUGUCGUGACUCGAGUCCGGUAGGGGAGUGUGGAAUUCCCGGUGUAGCGGUGAAAUGCGCAGAGAUCGGGAGGAACACCCGUAGCGAAGGCGGCACUCUGGGCCGACACUGACGCUGAGGCGCGAAAGCCAGGGGAGCGAACGGG